AGGGGAUGUCCGGUAGAGGUCACUUGGUGUUCUUCAGAGAGCACUGAGGUCACGCAGCUGAGUUUUCCUCCUUGUCUUCAAGACACAGGAACUUGCAUUCAGCUACAAAACCGAGCGGGCUGCAAAUCUCAUCAUAUCAUAUGACUCCGAGCAGUAGCCUUAAAAUCAAUGAACCAUUUCCAAGAACUGGUUGCUGGAUAGCAAUUUUUCAUCUGGGAAUUGCCUCAGGCUCUUUUUGCCCAAGUAUUGCACAGCAUUUGGAGAACACACACACAAGACAUUUGAAAGACAAAGAGGUGCAGAAUCCCAUUUAAAUGAGGAGAGGAGAGGAUCCUUCGCUUUUCCCAAAGCCUUGGUUGGAUAAAAGUCUGGAGAGGCUCGGGACACAAAUGUUGUUACUUGUAUUGAGACCUUGCUUCCCAAGAUACAGCUGCCCAUCAGAGUGAAAACACCACAGCAAGUAAGAACAUCUCAUCUCCUUGCUCAAUGAAAACCAACCUUGACCAAGGAAAUGACAGCUGGAAUACCAAAAAGAUGCUGGUACAGGCUGCCCAGAGAAGUUUUGGAUGCCUCAUCCCUGGAGGUGUUCAAAGCCAGGUUGGAUGGGGCCCUGGACAGCCUGCUCUGGUGUGUGAUUUAGCAGUUGGCAACUCUACUCAUGGCAGAGAGGUUGAAACUAUAUGAUCUGUGAGGUCCCUUCCAAUCCAAGCCAUUCUACGACUCUGCCAGGGCAUCUCCCAUGACAUUCCCAUGCUACAUGAGCAUAACACGUGGACUGAACACAUCUAAACCCACAGCAGUGAUGAGCAACAUCAACAAAAGGAAGACUUAGCAGCAUGGACCAGUUAAGUGUUUUGGACUGCCAGAUUUAAAAAUGCAUAAGAUAACUGCAUGGUGUUGAAUUAGAUUGAGGUAUUUAUUAUUAUUGUUAUUAUUUUCUGUUUCUUGGUGAUCCUGCUCUAUUUUACCCUAUGGAUAAUGAGAACCCAUUCAUUUUCUUCUUGACUUUGGGUUCUUACCACCUACCAUCUCCUGAAAAAGGCUCUCCAUAUUCCUUGAAGACAAUGUGGUUUUUUUUUUCCCUCUGUUUGAAAUAGCAAAUAAACUCUUUUGUUACAAAAAAAGGGUGUCUUGGAGCACUGGGAAUUUUCCAGCCCACUGCAAUGCCUAGUGGCAAUUGUCACCUUGUCCCAUGCACAACUGGCUGAAAAGUUCUGUGUGCAACGUGGCACUGGCUAACAUGCUGCAGCCUUUGCUGUGUCUGUGCUCUAAUUCUCAAGCACUCCAGGGCAAGGCGGUGUGUUGCAGGGCUUCCUCAUUUCAAAGGCACGGAGCUCUGGGGAGCUGCUGGCUCAGGAUCAGGUGGGAUACUUGGUGCUGGGCCAAGGGCUCUAUCUGAUUUGCAUCUGCUUCUCCUUGCACUGAGCUGAGAAGGAAACUUGAGUGCAGGAAAUAGUGUUCUUUUCCAUGUCCCAUGCCUCUUUUAAUUUUUUUUUAAUUUUCCUUUUUUUUAGGUCUAUUACAUUUUUGAAAAGUUGCCACAGCCUUGGAUGCCUUUACAGCAGUGCUGUACAAUCAUAGGUUGAAAAACUCAGGCUUUGCUUUGUAGCAGCUGCUGUUGGGUGGGAUCCAUCUCACUUAUCUUUAGUUGAGAUAUCUUUUGUCUCCUGUUAUAGUCAGUGGAGGAAAAUAGCCUCUUGGAGGACACAUUCCUCUGAUCUAUUCUGGUCUGAGAUGAAGUGAGUCCUUCCCAUCUCCAGCUGUAGGUGUCCCUGUUCAUUGCAGGGGAAUUGGACCAAAUGAAAAUCAACUAGUCAAAUUCCUCUGCAAUGAACAGGGACAUCUACAUGAACAGAGACUGACAUAGAUCCCUUUCAACUCAAACGAUUCUAUGAUUUUAUGAUUCUAUGAUGACAAGCAAUUCAGUGCAGUCCUCUGUGUCAGAAAAGUCAUGUGAAAAUAUUUGCUAAUUUUUACAGCAACACAUUGGUUCUUCCACUCACUUGCCACUUAAGGAUUCAGGUGUUUUGUAUCCCCAAGUCCCCAAUGUAAUGCAAAGGAUAAGGAAUGUCUGCAGACAGUUACUGUGACAUGAGUGGGAGGAGGACACAGAGAUCUGCCCUUUUCAGGAUGACACGUACAUUUUUUAUUUGAAUUUAUUUCUCAUCUGUAGAGAAGUUAUUUCUGAAAACAAGGGCCCUUGAGAAAAUUUUCUUUAACUGAUACUUCAAACAGGUUUCAUUCAUAAUGCCAUCAGAAUGGAUCUCUGUUGAUUAAAGAGUAAGUGGUGCUUAUU
rnacentral:lncRNA from 7 species